UCCCUGGUAUCUCAGCUGGUAAAGAAUCUGCCUGCAGUGCAGGAGACAUAGGUUCAAUCCCUGGGUUGGGAA
rnacentral:tRNA from 1 species